rnacentral:rRNA from 1 species
AUUGAACGCUGGCGGCGUGCCUAACACAUGCAAGUCGAGCGGUAACAGGUGUAGCAAUACAUGCUGACGAGCGGCGAACGGGUGAGUAAUGCUUCGGAAUCUGCCCUAUGGUGGGGAAUAACUAGCCGAAAGGUUAGCUAAUACCGCAUAAGUCCUACGGGAGAAAGCAGGGGAUCGCAAGACCUUGCGCCGAUGGAUGAGCCGAAGUCGGAUUAGCUAGUUGGUGAGGUAACGGCUCACCAAGGCGACGAUCCGUAGCUGGUCUGAGAGGACGACCAGCCACACUGGGACUGAGACACGGCCCAGACUCCUACGGGAGGCAGCAGUGGGGAAUAUUGGACAAUGGGGGCAACCCUGAUCCAGCGACGCCGCGUGUGUGAAGAAGGCCUGCGGGUUGUAAAGCACUUUUAGUGGGGAUGAAAUGUGCAGGGUUAAUACCUCUGCAUUUGACCUAACCCACAGAAAAAGC